GUGCUCACUUCAGCAGCACAUAUAGUAAAAUUGCCACAAUCCAUGCCCCUGUGCAAGAAUGACAGGCAAAUUCUUUAAGCAUUGGAUAUUUUU
rnacentral:snRNA from 1 species